GUCCAUACUGGUCUAUUCUGGUCCAUACUGGUCUAUACUGGUGUUGGAAUGGGUUGGACAAUGGGCUCUCCUGGGAUCUUCUAUUGGUUCCUAUGGGUCUCUAUUGACCACUAUGGGUCCCUAUUGGUCCAUACUGGUCCCUAUUGGUCCAUACUGGUUUCUACUGGUCCAUACUGGUCUAUACUGGUCUAUACUGGUCUAUACUGGUUUUUACUGGUCCAUACUGGUCCAUACUGGUCCAUACUGGUGUUGGAAGGGGUUGGAAGGGGUUGGACAAUGGGUUCUCCUGGGAUCUUCUAUUGGUUCCUAUGGCUCUCUAUUGACCUCUAUGGGUCCGUAGCGGCCCAUACUGGUCCCUAUUGGUCUAUACUGGUUUCUACUGGUCCAUAUUGGUCUAUACUGGUCCAUACUGGUCUAUACUGGUCUAUACUGGUCCAUACUGGUCUAUACUGGUCCAUACUGGUCCAUACUGGUGUUUGAUAGGGGUUCAACAAUGGGCUCUCCUGGGAUCUUCUAUUGCUUCCUAUGGCUCUCUAUGGACCCCUAUGGGUCCCUAUUGGUCUAUACUGGUUUCUACUGGUCCAUACUGGUCUAUACUGGUCUAUACUGGUCCAUACUGGUUUAUACUGGUCCAUACUGGUCCAUACUGGUGUGGGAAGGGGUUGGACAAUGGGUUCUCCUGGGAUCUUCUAUUGGUUCCUAUGGCUCUCUAUUGA
ensembl:lncRNA